rfam:Schistosoma margrebowiei strain Zambia genome assembly, scaffold: SMRZ_scaffold0000988
GUCCAACUGACGAGUCCAAAACAGGACGAAAUGAGCGUCUUGAAU